AUGUAAGAAUUUAAAGGUCGAACAGACCUAUCAUUUAAGCGGCUACACCUAAAUAUUAUCUUAAUCCAACAUCGAGGUCGCAAGCCCUCCCGUAAAUAUGAACUCUGGAAGAAGAUUACGCUGUUAUCCCUAAGGUAACUUAAUCUAACAAUCAAUAAUAAUGGAUCUUAUGUUCAUAAAUCAAUGUAUUGUAAAUAAAAAAGUUAAUUUUAUAUUUUUGUCACCCCAACAAAAUAUUCAUCCAAAAUAAUUAUAAAUAAUAUAAUAUAAGUAAUCAAAUAAAUAUAAAGCUCUAUAGGGUCUUCUCGUCUACCAAUAAAAUUUCAGCCUUUUGACUAAAAAGUUAAAUUUUAAAUUCAAAAAAAAUGAGACAGUUAAUUCUUCGUCAAACCCUUCAUUCCAGCCUCCUUUUAAAAGACUAAUGAUUAUGCUACCUUUGCACGGUCAGAGUACCGCGGCCGUUAAAUUAUUCACUGGGCAGGUCAAACCUCUUAUUAUAACCCAAGAGGACAGUGUUUUUGAUAAACAGGCGAGAAUUAUUUUGCCGAAUUCCUUAUCUUAUCCUCUCAUUAAAUUUAUUAUAAACAAAUUAAAUAUACUAAUUCAAUCAUUAUUUCAUAGAGCAAAAAAUUUAUUCUAUUUUUUUAAUAAAAUACUAAAUAAAAAAAAAUCAUAUUAUCAACAAUUUAAGUUAUAACACACUUUAUAAUGAUGGAUAAUUAUAACCCUACAAAAAAUAAAUAAAUAACAAUUAUAGUAUUAAUAUAGAGCUUAUCCCCUAUAAUAUUUAACUUUAAAUAUAAAAUCCUAAAAAUAAGAAUUUUAACUAAAAAGAAUAAAUUAAAUUUAUUUAUUAAAAAACCAGAUACCUUUAAAACGAAUUAGAUAUCCCAUCUAUGAUGUAUUAUUAAUAAUUAUUCCACAUUAAAUAAAUUCUAACAUAGCUCUUCUGAAAUCGAGA
rnacentral:rRNA from 1 species